AGAAGGGACCACCUAUUCUAGGUAGGGCAGCCACAAAGGGCCAGACAUGUAAGCUGAGGCUGUUGGUAGAGCUCAGGGAAGAGCAACCCAAGGUGAAGACACAAGGUGUGUACAAUUCUGGGCAUACCUCAACAACGGAAAGACUAGUGAAGCUGGCCCAGGAAUGGGGAACCGAACUGGCAGAUACAAGAUCAGGUGAGGUAGCAAAGGCCAUUCCUCCUCCAUUGUGCUGUGUUCAAGAAAACUGCAGAGUUAAGAAAGAACAAGGAUCAUCAAUCAGGACUUCUGGGACUUUCAUUUUUAACCAGAGUUGAAAACACAGGGGCUUGGAGACCUUUCUGUGAUGUCUUCUGGCUUUCAAGUUUUAAAACCUGUAUGCCCUUGAUCCUACUCCUUCCUCCACUAUUCACCUCCUUGGAAAUCUGAGAGACAUUCAUGUCCCAGGAGUGACCAGCUUGAAGAGAGCUGAAACCCAGCCCCAUUGCACAGCUGGCUCCCAAGGAUCUAUCUUGGCUCUCGACUUCCUAAAUACAGAGUUUAUUUCACCUCCUGGCUCCCUUGUGGAUGUAGGGGCCAUGGGACUAGUUCUGGACGAGGCAUCGUAAAGGAAAAUGAUAUGUGUCAACUUAGGGCUGAGCAUUUAAUUGAUUGCCCAAGACCUCCAAGUCUUGCUGUGUUCUUUGGCAUACUACACAGUGAUGUUUGCAGUGGGAGCUACUCUGUUAGCCUGGGUGACUAAAUGAUAAUGAUAUGCAAAGCCUCCUUGUUGAUCUAUGAUGAG
rnacentral:lncRNA from 1 species